rnacentral:lncRNA from 1 species
UGGUGGAAGAGAGGUUUGAGAGGGGUUAUGGCUAGAGGAAGAAUGAGAAUAGAAUGAUAGAGCUUUGGGAUGCCUUCGAUAAAAAAACCAUCCCCGACAUAGGUGUCAACUUCUGUUAAACACGAAUCAACUCCUGAAGAGGGAUGGACUCUAGUAAAACUGAAAGUUGGCUCCUCACAUAACUAUUUUUUUGUCAAAAAUCAUGAGUGG